rnacentral:rRNA from 1 species
GAUGAACGCUGGCGGCGUGCCUAAUACAUGCAAGUCGAGCGAACAGACGAGGAGCUUGCUCCUCUGACGUUAGCGGCGGACGGGUGAGUAACACGUGGAUAACCUACCUAUAAGACUGGGAUAACUUCGGGAAACCGGAGCUAAUACCGGAUAAUAUAUUGAACCGCAUGGUUCAAUAGUGAAAGACGGUUUUGCUGUCACUUAUAGAUGGAUCCGCGCCGCAUUAGCUAGUUGGUAAGGUAACGGCUUACCAAGGCAACGAUGCGUAGCCGACCUGAGAGGCUGAUCGGCCACACUGGAACUGAGACACGGUCCAGACUCCUACGGGAGGCAGCAGUAGGGAAUCUUCCGCAAUGGGCGAAAGCCUGACGGAGCAACGCCGCGUGAGUGAUGAAGGUCUUCGGAUCUUAAAACUCUGUUAUUAGGGAAGAACAAAUGUGUAAGUAACUAUGCACGUCUUGACGGUACCUAAUCAGAAAGCCACGGCUAACUACGUG